CCACAUUGGGACUGAGACACGGCCCAAACUCCUACGGGAGGCAGCAGUGGGGAAUUUUGCACAAUGGGGGAAACCCUGAUGCAGCGACGCCGCGUGAUUUAGAAGGCCUUCGGGUUGUAAAAAUCUUUUUUAUGGGAUGAAAAUGACAGUACCAUAAGAAUAAGGUCCGGCUAAAUACGUGCCAGCAGCCGCGGUAAUACGUAUGGACCGAGCGUUGUCCGGAAUCAUUGGGCGUAAAGGGUACGUAGGCGGCCUAGUAAGUUAGAAGUGAAAUAAUAUAGCUCAACUAUAUAAAGCUUUUAAAACUGUUAGGCUUGAGAGAUGAAAGGGAAAGUGGAAUUCCUAGUGUAGCGGUGAAAUGCGCAGAUAUUAGGAAGAAUACCGGUGGCGAAGGCGACUUUCUGGUCAUCAUCUGACGCUGAGGUACGAAAGCGUGGGUAGCAAACAGGAUUAGAUACCCUGGUAGUCCACGCUGUAAACGAUGAGUGUUAGGUUCUUGGAAUAAUCUGGGAGCCGCAGCUAACGCAUUAAACACUCCGCCUGGGGAGUACGCACGCAAGUGUGAAACUCAAAGGAAUUGACGGGGACCCGCACAAGCAGCGGAGCAUGUGGUUUAAUUCGAAGCAACGCGAAGAACCUUACCAGGUCUUGACAUCCCGGUGACCGGUGCGUAACGGCGCCUUUCCUUCGGGACACCGGAGACAGGUGGUGCAUGGUUGUCGUCAGCUCGUGUCGUGAGAUGUUGGGUUAAGUCCCAUAACGAGCGCAACCCCUAUCGUUAGUUACCAUCAUUAAGUUGGGGACUCUAGCGAUACUGCCGGUGAUAAACCGGAGGAAGGUGGGGACGACGUCAAAUCAUCAUGCCCUUUAUGACUUGGGCUACACACGUGCUACAAUGGCAGAUACAGAGGGCAGCGAAAGAGCGAUCUGAAGCGAAACUCACAAAGUCUGUCCCAGUUCGGAUUGUACUCUGCAACUCGAGUACAUGAAGUUGGAGUUGCUAGUAAUCGCGAAUCAGAAUGUCGCGGUGAAUGCGUUCCCGGGUCUUGUACACACCGCCCGUCACACCAUGGGAGUUGGCAAUACCCGAAGCCUGUGAGCGAACCUUUUAGGACGCAGCAGUCGAAGGUAGGGUCAGUAACUGGGGUGAAGUCGUAACAAGGUAGCCGUAUCGGAAGGUGCGGCUG
rnacentral:rRNA from 1 species